rnacentral:rRNA from 1 species
UACAGAGGUCUCAAGCGUUGUUCGGAUUCAUUGGGCGUAAAGCGUGCGCAGGCGGUUCGUUAUGUCCGAUGUGAAAGCCCCGAGCUUAACUUGGGAAUGGCAUUGGAAACUGGCGGGCUGGAGUGCGGCAGAGGGGGGUGGAAUUCCACGUGUAGCAGUGAAAUGCGUAGAGAUGUGGAGGAACACCGAUGGCGAAGGCAGCCCCCUGGGCCGACACUGACGCUCAGGCACGAAAGCGUGGGGAGCAAACAGG